rnacentral:rRNA from 1 species
CCUACGGGAGGCAGCAGUGGGGAAUAUUGCACAAUGGGGGAAACCCUGAUGCAGCAACGCCGCGUGAGCGACGAAGGCCUUCGGGUUGUAAAGCUCUGUCUUCGCUGACGAAAUAUGACGGUAAGCGAGGAGGAAGCCACGGCUAACUACGUGCCAGCAGCCGCGGUAAU